GUCUAUCGUACCUUGUUGCUUCGGCGGGCCCGCCGUUUCGACGGCCGCCGGGGAGGCCUUGCGCCCCCGGGCCCGCGCCCGCCGAAGACCCCAACAUGAACGCUGUUCUGAAAGUAUGCAGUCUGAGUUGAUUAUCGUAAUCAGUUAAAACUUUCAACAACGGAUCUCUUGGUUCCGGCAUCGAUGAAGAACGCAGCGAAAUGCGAUAAGUAAUGUGAAUUGCAGAAUUCAGUGAAUCAUCGAGUCUUUGAACGCACAUUGCGCCCCCUGGUAUUCCGGGGGGCAUGCCUGUCCGAGCGUCAUUGCUGCCCUCAAGCACGGCUUGUGUGUUGGGCCCCCGUCCCCCUCUCCCGGGGGACGGGCCCGAAAGGCAGCGGCGGCACCGCGUCCGGUCCUCGAGCGUAUGGGGCUUUGUCACCUGCUCUGUAGGCCCGGCCGGCGCCAGCCGACACCCAACUUUAUUUUUCUAAGGUUGACCUCGGAUCAGGUAGGGAUACCCGCUGAACUUAAGCAUAUCAAUAAGCGGAGGAAAAGAAACCAACAGGGAUUGCCUCAGUAACGGCGAGUGAAGCGGCAAGAGCUCAAAUUUGAAAGCUGGCCCCUUCGGGGUCCGCGUUGUAAUUUGCAGAGGAUGCUUCGGGUGCAGCCCCCGUCUAAGUGCCCUGGAACGGGCCGUCAUAGAGGGUGAGAAUCCCGUCUGGGACGGGGUGUCUGCGUCCGUGUGAAGCUCCUUCGACGAGUCGAGUUGUUUGGGAAUGCAGCUCUAAAUGGGUGGUAAAUUUCAUCUAAAGCUAAAUACUGGCCGGAGACCGAUAGCGCACAAGUAGAGUGAUCGAAAGAUGAAAAGCACUUUGAAAAGAGAGUUAAACAGCACGUGAAAUUGUUGAAAGGGAAGCGUUUGCGACCAGACUCGCCCGCGGGGUUCAGCCGGCAUUCGUGCCGGUGUACUUCCCCGUGGGCGGGCCAGCGUCGGUUUGGGCGGCCGGUCAAAGGCCCUCGGAAUGUAUCACCUCUCGGGGUGUCUUAUAGCCGAGGGUGCAAUGCGGCCUGC
rnacentral:rRNA from 1 species